rnacentral:rRNA from 1 species
GACGAACGCUGGCGGCGUGCUUAACACAUGCAAGUCGAGCGGUAAGGCCCUUUCGGGGGUACACGAGCGGCGAACGGGUGAGUAACACGUGGGUGACCUGCCCUCAGCUCUGGGAUAAGCCUGGGAAACUGGGUCUAAUACCGGAUAUGACUCCAUGACGCAUGUUGUGGGGUGGAAAGCCUUGUGCGGCUGGGGAUGGGCCCGCGGCCUAUCAGCUUGUUGGUGGGGUGAUGGCCUACCAAGGCGACGACGGGUAGCCGGCCUGAGAGGGCGACCGGCCACACUGGGACUGAGACACGGCCCAGACUCCUACGGGAGGCAGCAGUGGGGAAUCUUGCGCAAUGGGCGAAAGCCUGACGCAGCGACGCCGCGUGAGGGAUGACGGCCU